AUGAGGCGGGCCCGCUGCGCACCCCCGCGCUCUCCGCCCGCCCAGUGCGGCUCCGCUGCCCCGGCGGCGGGAGAGGCCUGGCUGCCGGGCCCGGGCGCUCCCCCUCGGUCGCUCUGCCGCUCAGGAAGCCACCGGCCGCGGGAAGUUUCCUCCAACCUGCGGGGCCCAAAACAAACCGGGUCAGACGCCUCCCUCGGCGCGUCCCCCCGCGUCUCCUCGGCCCCGCGGGCGGCACGGGACGCGCCCCGCUCCCCCCUUACCUUGCGCGCAGCCGCCGCCAUAGCGCCUGGAGCCCUUCCCGGUGUGGCCGCGGCGGCGGGGCCGGGGCGGGGCGGGGCCGGGGGCGGGCAGCGUGCGCACCGGCUGCCCUCGCGCAUGCGCCUUGCGCCCGGUGAGGCUGCGGCACGGGCGGGUCACGCCCCGCUCCGGGCGCGCGGGAGGGGGCGGCGGGCUAGGUCGGGAGGGGAGAGGGGAGAGGGCACAGGGGUGAGGGGACCGGGGACAGGGGACAGGGUCGGUGUUCGCCCGGAGGAGCACGGCUGGGACGUGCUAGCACGGGGCAGGUCGCUGAGUGGAUGUGAGCAGUCUGCACAGUCACUCCCUGCUGAAGCUGAUGGAGCCUGGCCAGCCAGCAGCCAACACAGCAUUUGCAGCUACCUGAUAGAAACCAUCCUGCUGAGAGAUGGCAGCUGUAGGAGCAAGAUAGAGCUUGGGAGAAAGCAAGGCAGGCUCAAACACUGAGCAGUUGUGGAUCUUUAGAGCCCAGCUGUCCCACACAGGCCUUCUCUCAUUUUUAUUCCAACAACUGACAUCAAGGGCAUGCUUUUUCUAGCAGUGUCUCUUGUCCAAACCCUUCCAGGUGGCUGUAUUUCUGCAAAACAAAGCAGAGUUCCUGGAGAUUUGUAAGGGCAUAUUCCAUAUGCAGAGCCCUGGUGUUUUAUGAGGCUUUAUUGCAAGUUGUAGCAAAAUGCUCUCAGUUAGGUGGUCCCCAGCUCUGAAGUCUGUUUUUUGUCCUGCAUUGAUGCUUCUUGAAAAGGAAACUCAGAUGUUUCUAAAUGUUACAAUACAUGCAGAAAUAUUUUUCUUUCUCAACUGAAGGGGAUAGUCACAUUUUGUCAAAACUAAAAUGUAUUUAAAAUGGCUAAGUAAAAAUCUUGCUGAAUAACUGUUUAUUUGGAAUAUCUCCAGUAGGUAAGAAUUCUUUCUUCUGUACUUUUUUAUCAGGGAUCACGUGUCUAUUGUCUUAACUUUUUCCUGCCAAAAGACUAUUUGUUAAGCAUCCAGUGGAAUUAAUUUACUGUUUAAUAAAAUGUAUCACUCUUAGUAAGUACUUUAUUCU
rnacentral:lncRNA from 1 species